UCCACAAGAGUAGCUAGUGCAUCUUAUCUCCUUAAGGCACAACACACACAAUGAAAACACCUCACAUGCACAACUCCUACCAAGUGUACUCCACACCACUAGAUGCAAUCCACAAGGCUCACCAUGCUAGCAAUACCACAUCUAAUCACUUGCAAGUGUGCAACUCACACACAAAGGGAACUGCUACUAACUACACUAGCAGGAGAAAAAAAAAUGAACUUAAAUCCAGCUUGCUGCCCAAGGAAGAGGUAGAACAAAUAAGGCAGCAAGAAAAGAAGGGAAAAAAAUAGCUACAGCAAAUAACAGGGUCCUGGGAUUCGAACCCUGC
rnacentral:lncRNA from 1 species